AGUAACGCGUGGGAACGUGCCCUUCACUACGGAAUAGUCCCGGGAAACUGGGUUUAAUACCGUAUACGCCCUUCGGGGGAAAGAAUUUCGGUGAGGGAUCGGCCCGCGUUGGAUUAGGUAGUUGGUGGGGUAACGGCCUACCAAGCCGACGAUCCAUAGCUGGUUUGAGAGGAUGAUCAGCCACACUGGGACUGAGACACGGCCCAGACUCCUACGGGAGGCAGCAGUGGGGAAUCUUAGACAAUGGGGGAAACCCUGAUCUAGCCAUGCCGCGUGAGUGACGAAGGCCCUAGGGUCGUAAAGCUCUUUCGCCAGGGAAGAUAAUGACGGUACCUGGUAAAGAAACCCCGGCUAACUCCGUGCCAGCAGCCGC
rnacentral:rRNA from 1 species